rnacentral:lncRNA from 1 species
UCAGCUCGUGGGUGUGAACUUGAACACAGGUGAGCCAGUGGUAGCAGCAGAAGUAGGCGUUACGGGAUAACGAUUGUGUAAAGAAACAGCUUCAUCACUCUUGCACUGUGAUUGCCAGCAACAUUCUCUUGGUUGAUAAGAUCAUGUGAGCCUGGAAUGCCUUCUCUGAAAGGUUGAAUUGAAGCUUCCUCUCUGAGUCUUGAAGAUUCUGCAAAGUGAUCCUGAGGAAUACAGCUGUGG